rnacentral:lncRNA from 1 species
ACCAUUCACCAAAUAAUUCAUAUCAAUAACAAGUAACAACAACUUCAUUUUAACCGCUGUGUCACAACUAUACCUACCUCCCAUUAUUACGAACAAAACUAUUACACACAUACUAACAUGCACCUAUAAUUUUCUUCCAUACAUACUUUUCGUAUAUCUGUUGUUGUAUAUUUGUGUUUCAACAUUACGUACAACAUGUGUCUAGUGCAAAUUAAUAAUGACUCAACAAUAAAAUAUUCUUAACCAUCUUCUUAUGAAAUAUUAUUUGCAAUAGACAAUUUUUUUAAUUUUUUCAUGGAAUUCUCAGUUACGAUUUUUAAUUGUGCUGGAAAUACACUUUUUUAUGAAUUUCUUUGACAAAACUAUGCUAUAUAUCAACCUCUACAACAUAUUUUUUUUUGUUAAUUCCCUCAAUUUUUUUAAAUUCCUGUCAAAUUUAAAGACACCCCGCGUUUAUCCCUUCCCCGCCCCUUGACAGAGGGCCCGCGGUAGCGGGAACCCUGCAUAUGCCGUACUAACUACUAAGGCCACGUUUGGUAGGGAGUGGUGUAAGUUAAAACGUAGUAAUAGAUUAGUACAUACUAAUUAAUUAUUAAUUAUUUAAAAUAUAUAAAAUAGAUUAAUAUGAGUUUUAAAACAACUUUACUAUAGAAAGUUUUUAUAAAAUACACCGUUUAGCGGUUCGAGAAACGUGCGUGCGAAAAACGAGAAGUUAAGUUAACUAACUAGGGUGGCGAACGUGGCCUAAGACUACUCACAGGUUUCCAAUCUGUAUGCUAGUUUAGAUUUAUGGUUAGGUCGAUAAAAAACCAACUAGAUUGUUUGGGUGUUUCAAAAAAACCAAAUAACAUAUUUACAAAUAAAAAAUAAUGUAUAAAUAAAUUUUUAUAUAUGUUUUCUUAAAUUUAAUUUAAAGUUGGAACGGUCGCCGUGGCUUUAUCACUAGCACAGUUACCCCGUAUAGCACGCGGUUUACACGACGUUGCUCGUGAGUUGGAAAGGCAGGGCAGGAUGGAUGCGCGGCUGUGGAGGUUGAGGGGUUGGACAAGACGCAUCGAUCGAUCGAUCGACCAGCGCAGCGCUUUCGGUUGCCCCCACGCAACGCGCGCAGACACAAGACACCUCCAACGUGAUUCCCGCGUACCUUUAUCACCUUUGCAUUUUCCUGUUUAUUCCGAUUUUUUUUAUUUUUAAACCUAUUUAAUAAAUAAUUUUAUUAAUAAACCUUGGGUGAAAAUAUUUUCACCGAAUGAACCUUUUGACUAUGUCAUCAAUAUUGGCAUGACAAAACAACGCUAUCACACGAGGUUUUUGGCGUGACAGUCCUUCUCAUUGGCUAGACAGUGUAUGAUCACGACGCGGACGGAGCACCGCCGCACUGCACACGGACGGAGGACUCACGGUGCGGACGGGGCUAGCGCCAUGAUGGUAUAAAUCAUCAUUGUUUAAAUUUAUACCGUAAUAUAAGCAUAUAUUCCUGCCAUGACUUACAUGUUUUCAAUCAUUUAAUCGAUCACAAAGUUAAUCAAAUACUCUCCCGUUUCAUAGUAUAAUACUUUCUAGCCUUGACUAGAUUCAUACAAAUACUAAUGAAUCUAGACUUAUAUAUAUAUUAUAUAUAUAUAUGUAUCAAUUGAUCAAUUUAAGCAAGGCUAGAAAGUCUUUCAAUAUGAAAC